CUGCCCGGCAGGGCCACCAAACAUACACCUUUACUAGAUCAGGUUGCCCAGGGCCCCGUCCAACCUGGCCUUGAGCACCUCCAAGGACGGGGCAUCCACAACCAACCCUCGCACCUCCCCGCCUCCCCUCACACAUCCCCGCCUCCACGGAGCACUUGGGAGCCGCCUCCUUCCCGAGAGCCCUGCCCGGCGUUACCUUCACAGUAGCGUACGAACCUGCUGGGCUGAGAGAGAAAAGCAUCAUCGCCAGUGAAAUCUGCAGUGUGCGUGAUUUCAGUCCAGCGAGUAGCUUAAUUAUCCAACAGAUCCAAGGGAGCAGUCAUCAGCAAUUAGAGAAAUCGAAUGCUGCCCAUCAUUGUCUUUGCUGUGUUUCAAAUAUCACACUGAAAAUCCAGAACAUGUUCACCAUUUUGCUGCAAAACAAUCUGGACGAUCUCUGCUGGCAGAAGUCAAUGGAACCUGAGGGUGAUGGAAAAAUUAUCAUAGAGGUAGGUGGACUGGAUUUUUGCAUCAACUUCUGUUUUGUAUAAAUAUGCUUCAUUUGCUAAGAAACAUUUUUAAAGCAAACCAUUGAGACAAAAACCAGAGAGUAAAUACUGAAACUCAGUGCAAAAGGAAAGUACAAAUGGCUUAUUAUGCAACGGGGGCUGCAGAAGCCUAAGUGAAACCUGAAAACCAGAGAGACUUGAGCUGAAAAAAAAUUGCCAGAAGCAGUGGCAAAGAGCUUAAAUCAGGUAGGAUUACAAGUACUUUGGAAGGUUUCUGCUGUAGAUUCGAAGUUGUCAUCUCUUUUCAAUCUCAAUAUAUCUUUACCCCACUCACUGACGUGACCUUUUAUUCAACCUAAGGUUGGAUGACUUUGUGCUACCUUCCAGGAAAGGAACUGUUUUUUUGCAGCUCCUUCUUACUCAUUUUGAGAAAAGGAUUAAAUCUUUCCUCUGACCAAGCAUACAGGCAUGCUAAAGUGAAGCCACUUCAUGCUCCUGGCCAAACAAAGAACAAUAAUACCCACAAUAAGCAAAAGCAGAUGGCUUCAGUGGCAGGAAAUGAAUGAGCCAGACUGCAGGUAAAAUGGCUUUCUGAACACAUCUCAGAGGUUUGUAAUGACAGGUUCUUUGUUAUCUGGGGCCUCCCCACAGGAGGCCAGAUGUCUUCUGUUGUGAAGGGAGAUAGAUAGAGAUGCUCUUCCUUUUCCUCCCCCUUUAAGUUAUGGCUGUUUAAGUUACUGCUAAUGGAAGUAGAAGCCUGUUUUUCCCUCUUGCUCUCUGAUGUUUUUGGAAAGAGAAGAGAUAGUUAGUGAAGGGGUAUUCUGAUAUGAAAGGAAAGGCCCAGAACUGGCCUUUACCUCCCAGUGACCCUCAUUUUAAAGAACAGGGAGGUCAGUGCUGCUAAUUGCACUUGAAAGGAUUAACCACUUGAUUGCUUUCAUUUGGUGGAAAAAAACCACUAUUCAUUAAUCUAAAAGUUGAAAAAAUGCAUCAGAGGUAUCACGAUGUUUUCAGCGUGAGGUUGAUGACCUGGAUGGUUUGGCUUAUACCAAUUUUGAAAUUAAAUAGAGGAUUAAAAUCUUUUUGUAGAGGGGAGAGCAGGAGGUGGGGAAGUACAUCUGGUGCUCAGAACAGAUUUGCAGCAAGAGUGAUAAUAAACUCCUUUUUCUGUCCUUAUAAAAAGUUUUUGCAGGAAUAUCAACAUGUUAAUUAUGGAUAUUAGAUGUUCUAUAUGUAAGUUCUAUCACUUGGUAUAAGAAGAAGCUCAGUGUAAUGCAAGAGUCACAGCAGAUGAAAACGAACCUGAACCAAUUCCUGGAUUUAAAAUCUUGUUUUCACUUGGGAAUUAAAAUUACUUUUGAAACAGAUCCUUAAUUCCCACUGUUCAAAUAAAGUGAGGUACAGAAAACUUAAAUUUGGAAGCCAUUUUUAACCCUAUGAAACUAUGUUCUGAAAGUAACAAAGAGCAGCUUAUAUAUGCUUCAAUCUGACCUCCAUUUCUUAAAUAAAAAAACAUGUUUUCAGGGAAAUGUGUCUUGGAAUUACCUUCCCCUCCCCCCAAGAUUUUUCUCCCUGGUUCUUGUAAAACACCAGGUUAGUGGGUGCAUUUUAUUUUUGUUUGAUGAAAGUUUCCAUCUCGAAUUUGUGUGAUUUAAAAUCCCUUCUAAGAUUUAAAAAAACAUUACAGCAAUCUUCAAAAAAUAAAAACAGAUGAAAGUGUCAAUAAGCCAUCAAAAUUCAAACCAAAGGAGAUAGCAUUAAUCAUUGUAAAAAAACCCAAUAACAUCUCAGUAGCAGUAAAAAUGAAUAAGAAACGUGUUGCUUCAAUAGCAUUGAGACAUAACUGAUUUUUCUAACUGCUUGGUACACAAGAACGCACCAUGUUAUUUACAGCUUUGCCAUAUAUGAACGUAUGUAUCUAUGUACUUGUACAUACACACGCACAUUUAAAAAUGCAUUUUAUUUUUCUGACUUCAUACCCAUGCUUCCUUCAGCACUGUCAUAAUUCACACUCCUCAUAUGGAGUCAUAUAACUUAACUGGCAUUUCUUCUUGCAAAUGGAGAUAUGCUUUGGUUGUCCAUUGAGAUGGGGUUUUAUGUGCAUUCACUUAUGCAGAUGAGAUUACAAAUCUGAAGGUAAGUGCAACCUACAGGGAGUGUAUCUGUAGCUUGUUUAAGACAAUAUUUAGUUGGAUUUCAUAAGUAUCUUGAUCCAUAAAUAUAUAUACAUAUAUACAGCAAAUUAUUUGAGUCUGCAUGGAUUCCUGUGUAAUAGUAAAAAAUUAUGUUCUUGAAGUUUUUUCAAUGUAACAUUUCUAUGCUAAUUAGGAUACGAGGGCACUCUUCUGGAGAGUAUGGUAGAUGAUAAUUCAGCCAGAUUUCUACAGGAAAAUAUACAACAGAAACUUUGGAACUUCUGUUUAAAAAAUUAUCUAUUACAGCUCUUCAAUCUGUGU